UAUCCGUGGGGUCACUGCACCACGUACAAAUCUUUCGCCUUUUACUAAAGAUUUCCGUGCAGAGGACCAAUCUUUUUUGUAGUCAACUUUUUCAUGAUGAUCCAUUAAUGACGUCA